GUUCUGACCAUUUUUCUUUCUAGGAAACUGAUACGGCCCACCUGUAUCCUGCUUUUCACAUCGUUCAGGGAUGGCAAAGGAACAAACUACAUCAUGGCCCUUAUGCAUACAGAAAUUCCCAUGGUAUGUACAUAGAAAUGGAGUUCACCCUUUCCUGGAACAUAAAAUUAAGAAACAUUAUCCAGAAUUAAAAGCAUAUUUUAUUACCCUUGGAAAUAACAAAUCUAACACGUCUCCAUAGGUGAGUAAUGCAUGAAUUUCUUCCAAAAUCAAUAAUCAACCACAAACCUUUGGCUGGCCUAGAAAAGGUUUAAAGGCCGAGAAUAUUAAGAGACUUAAAAUAGCAAGUGUUGCAGAUCACAUGUCCACACAAGACCACUCUAUGAUUUUAGGGAAAAUGACCUACAUAUGGUCGAGGAUAGUGUUUUAUUCUAUCUACUUAAUCUAUCACAUAAAUCACCUCUUGUGUCUCCUAAAUUAUGUGAUCUUUAUCUCUCUAAGGUAGCUUAAUCUGCAUGUUGGUAUAUUUUAUCCAUGCAGGAGCUCUUUCUGUUCCCAUUAAAAUCUAACUAGAGAACAGAAUAUAACACUUUUGAAUGAAAGUAGGAAGACAGCAACCUAAAUGCCAGGGGGCUGCAUUUCUAAGGUCUCAGCCCAGAGAGGGCAGAACACAAGAUCAGUUAGCUUCUGUUUGCAUAUGAGAAAGCUAGAGCCAAGCGAGGGGGGGCAACAGAGCCAAAAUGUGUAUGUAGAUCCCAUAAAUCCAGUAUAGCAAAGCAACUUAAUGCCCUGACCCAAACAGUUUCCCGUUCGCCGAUGGCUGAUGCCGCACUAACAGGGUAGCAACAGGGAAAAGGAACGCCUGCAAUUCUUCAUUUAUUUGAUGUCUACCUUUCAUUCUCCAGUGUCAUCUACGAUGUGGUUCUCAAAUUUGACCACACAUUGCAAUCCCCUGGGGAGUUUUAGAAACUAAUGAUGUGGGGCUCCUGGGUGGCUCAGUCAUUAAGCGUCUGCCUUCGGCUCAGGGCGUGAUCCCAGCGUUAUGGGAUUGAGCCCCGCAUCAGGCUCCUCCACUGUGAGCCUGCUUCUUCCUCUCCCACUCCCCCUGCUUGUGUUCCCUCUCUCGCUGGCUGUCUCUGUCAAAUAUACAAAUAAAAUCUAAAAAAAAAAAGAAAGAAAGAAAGAA
rnacentral:lncRNA from 1 species